rnacentral:lncRNA from 1 species
CCAAAUGCGUCCGACCAUUGCUUUUUGGACACGUUUCGUUCCUUGGGGCAAGCGGCAUGUGGUGGACAAAAUAUUUUAGUAUCCGAUGACGUGGCUCCUCGUCAGUUAAUAUUAUCCGAGUCUAUCCACUUGUGCGUCCAUCCCUGUCCAACGGCCGCCAGCUGUUUUCACUAAUCCGAUGUGCGUUCCCAAGUUUAAAUAUCCAAUCACGCUCUUCUUGGCGCGUGAUCACCGCCUACAUUUUUUUAUUUAUAAUAUUUAUCAAUUUUUUUAGGACAAGACUAAUCUUAGACCCCCUUCCAAACGUAGGAAAGAGAAUGGAGAAAACCAUUCACAGGUUUAUUUUGAAAAUUGAAAAAAUUAUUGUUAUUGUUUUGAAAGAAAUGGAACCACCAUACAAAAAAAUUAAAUAUCACAAUCUUGGGAUAUAGUUCAUCCCAUUAGCAUCAUUCUUCUAAUUAAUUAAAUGAAUCGUUAUACAAAGAGUCAU